rnacentral:lncRNA from 1 species
CCUGAGACGUGGCAUCCAGUGACGGGCAUUUGUAGGGCGAAGCUCGUGUUCCCAUUACGCCAGCCUCGGGCUCAAGUUCCACAAGAUUGCCUCCUCCACCCCAGCUUUGAAGGCUCCAUCUGCACUAAAGAGAAAGAAAGAAAGAAAAAAAAGAAAAGAAAAGAAAAGAAAAAAAAGAAAGGAAAGGAAAAGAAAGGAAAGGAAAGGAAAAGAAAAGAAAAGGAGAAAAGAAAAGAAAAAACCUGCUGUCCCCGUCCCCCAGCACUACUGCCCCUGUCCAGGGACCAAAGAUGGGACGAAUCACCUCCCAGAGAUCACCCACCGGCUCCAGGGGCUUCUGUGUAGGAGUGAGGAGGACAGCAGGCCGCGGGAGAGGAGACCAGCCCCAGCCCCAGGGAGGGAGUAACCCCUCAUCCCCAGGAUGCGGCUGCUCAGAUACCAGCGCUCUGCCUCCCUGAGAUUUUCCAGGUGUCCUUACCCUGAAAGAAAGAAUCCUGCAGCUUUGUGCACACGUCAAAGCAGGCUUCGUGCUACAUCCAGAGAAGCAGGAGAGGGCCUCUUCCCAGGCAGCGCUACCGAGUAAAUGCCUAUCAGACUCAGGGUGGGUGCUGGGAGCUACUGCGGAAGAGGUGGGGGCGGCCGGAACCACUGGUCCAGACCUUUCUCCCGCUCCAUCAAAGGGAACUCGUCUCCGGUCCACCUUCACCCCAGGAUCCAAAACGUCUCUCCACUGCCCUCCUGGAGUCCAGAUUUCUCUUGCCCCUUUCCAGACCUUCCCCAGUACCAACCACCAUGAAACUUCUCCUCGACCACCUUGCUGGCCAGUGGAUCUCCUCGUUUUUCUUGGCACUAGUCUCACGCUGCUUCUUUUGUUCACACCGUUCCCCAGGCCUGAGACAACCUCUUCCCCGGUGGUAUAUCUGUGUAAUCCUGUAGCAUACUCUUACUGUCACUUGCACCACCUCCGUCUGCACUUUUCCACAGCAGCCCCGCACCACCACAGGGACACCUCCAAUUCUCCGCUACUGCUGCCCUCACGGCCUCACAGCCUCCAUCACCAUUGGCCUCACCUCCCUGACACAGCGGUCCCCACUGCCGCCACUGUGAUGGCCUUCCUGUGGGCGGUGCCGCCCCCACCGGCUCCAUGACAACGCUGCACUCCCCAUCACCUCCACCCUAACCUGCCACUCACCGCAUGGCCACCCAUCGCUACACUGCACUGGUGACCAUCACCAUCACUGGAAGGGACAUUCAUAAAAUCAAUGGUUCAAUCAAUCAAUCAAUCAAUCAAUUUCAAAUCCCUCCACGGAGGCCAUCAAAGGAUCUAUAGGAGGGGCAGGUGGGUCACAUGGCCCCCAUUCUUGUUCCUGAGUCUCUUCAUCCUUCAAGGAGUCACUCACUGGUUGCCGUGUGUCACCAGAGCGGCCAUGGGGAUCCUCCUGUGGCACCUCGGAGCAUAACUGAGACAAAGCUAGAACUAAUAGUAAGGGGGCAAUAACACAAGCUGCUGCCGGGAAUACAAAUCAGCAUGAACUUUCUGAAGAGAAGUUCAAUUAAAAAAGAAAAAAAGAGUAGUUCAAUGAUAUGACAAUAGCCUUUGGAAAGUGCCUUCUCAGAAAUUUUACUUUUAAGAACCUAAGGAAAUAAUUAAUGUGCAAGGAUGAUGUGUGCUGUUAUAAUAGCAAAAACUAGAAACAGCCUAAGUGCAUAGCAGAAGAGAGAGAGAGAGAGAGAGAUUAAAAAAAAUCACAUGGACUAAAAAAAAAAAAAAUCACAUGGACUGGGAUCCCUGGGUGGCUCAGCAGUUUAGCGCCUGCCUUUGGCCCAGGGCAUGAUCCUGGAGUCCCGGGAUCAAGUCCUGCGACGGGCUCCCGGCAUGGAGCCUGCUUCUCCCUCUGCCUGUCUCUCUCUCUCUCUCUCUGUCUACCAUGAAUAAAUAAAUAAAAAAUUUUAAAAAUCA